AGUUGAACGCUUGAUUUUCACCGAAGCUUGCUUCACCGAAAAUCAAGAGUAGCGAACGGGUGAGUAACGCGUGGGUAACCUACCUAUCAGCGGGGGAUAACUAUUGGAAACGAUAGCUAAUACCGCAUAACAAUGUUGGAUGCAUAUUCGACAUUUGAAAGUACCAACUGGUACACUGAGAGAUGGACCCGCGUUGUAUUAGCUAGUUGGUAGUGUAAUGGACUACCAAGGCGAUGAUACAUAGCCGACCUGAGAGGGUGAUCGGCCACAUUGGGACUGAGACACGGCCCAAACUCCUACGGGAGGCAGCAGUAGGGAAUCUUCGGCAAUGGACGAAAGUCUGACCGAAGCAACGCCGCGUGAGUGAAGAAGGUUUUCGGAUCGUAAAACUCUGUUGUUAGAGAAGAACGUUGCAUAGAGUGGAAAAUUAUGCAAGUGACGGUAUCUAACCAGAAAGGGACGGCUAACUACGUGCCAGCAGCCGCGGUAAUAC
rnacentral:rRNA from 1 species